GGUGUAGUUGCAUAUUGUGGUCACUGGGGGGUGGCAGUGCUUAAGGGUUAACUGCAGUUUUCCAAAAAAAACUUAACAAGAAAUGCAUCUUGGGACUCCCUGUUUACUCUCUUUUUGUGGAUGUGGAACGGGAAUGUUGUGAAGGAGUUAAAUUGUUGGACCUGUAUGUGCAGCGUGGAGCCGCCAUUUUCUCCAUGCAAGGGAUAAGUUGCCAGAUCGUCUGUGUGCUCCAGUAUUCCAAGUGAGCUGAGAUUUCUGUGGAAUGUUCCUCCUGCUUCGCUGCUGAGACAUUCAGGUUGAGCAUUGACAAGAAGUUUGUCAACAACCGCAUCACAACCCUCACCUCUACCAUCUGCCUAAUGGUUGGCAGUUACUACUGCUUUGACAUACAUUACCCUGUGGAACUACAGUAAAAUUUCUUUUAUUAUUGAUUUAUUUUUGUGCUUAUCAAACUUAGCAUAUGUUGAUGAAAACUUGUUCCUGGAAUUUCUUCAAUUCAGAUUUUCUUUCAGUUAUAGAAAAAAAAGUUUCAUUCUCUAUAUUUGCAUUUGGAUAAUUUGAAAAAGCAAUAUUAUACGUGUACUGAUAUUUAUGUUGUGAGAAGAGCACCAAUAACACUUUGGGGUUUUCAAGUUAUGGUAAAGGUGUCUGAAUUGUCGGCUACAGGUAAUGUAUGAUAAUGUAUGCUCAACUUACAACACUGGUUUUCCACAGUUUGAACAGAACUUGUAAGAAUUCAGUAAUUCUUUACUGUUGCUGUCAUUGAGUUAAUUAGUAACUAUUUGUGAUGCCUUGAGUAAAAAUGUAAACGUUUGAUGUUCACAACAUCAAAGAUGAUAAAUAAAAUA